rnacentral:tRNA from 1 species
UGGCUCAGAUGGUAAAAGUAUCUGCCUACAAUGCAGGAGACCCGGGUUCGAUCCCUGG